rnacentral:rRNA from 1 species
UACAGAGGUCUCAAGCGUUGUUCGGAUUCAUUGGGCGUAAAGGGUGCGCAGGCGGCGAGGCAAGUCGGACGUGAAAUCUCGGGGCUUAACCCCGAAACUGCGUUCGAUACUGCCUUGCUUGAGGACUGGAGAGGAGACUGGAAUUCCUGGUGUAGCAGUGAAAUGCGUAGAUAUCAGGAGGAACGCCAAUGGCGAAGGCAAGUCUCUGGACAGUUCCUGACGCUGAGGCGCGAAAGCUAGGGGAGCAAACGGG